rnacentral:misc_RNA from 1 species
GAUGAAGAACGUAGCGAAAUGCGAUAAGUAAUGUGAAUUGCAGAAUUCAGUGAAUCAUCGAAUCUUUGAACGCACCUUGCGCCCUUUGGCUAUUCCGAAGGGCAUGCCUGUUUAAGUAUCAUGAACACCUCAACUCUCAUGGCUUGCCAUGACGAGCUUGGACUUUGGGGGUUUUGCUGGCCUUCGGUCGGCUCCUCUCAAACGGAUCAGCUUUCCAGUGUUUGGUGGCAUCACGGGUGUGAUAACUAUCUACGCCUGUGGUUUUCUGCCAGAUAACCUUCAGCGAUGGAGGUUCGCUGGGGCUCAUAAAUGUCUCUCUUCAGUGGAGACAGCUUUUUGGACGUUUGAUCUCAAAUCAGGUAGGACUACCCGCUGAACUUAAGCAUAUCAAUAAGCGGAGGA